UAGGGAAUCUUCGGCAAUGGACGAAAGUCUGACCGAGCAACGCCGCGUGAGUGAAGAAGGUUUUCGGAUCGUAAAACUCUGUUGUUAGAGAAGAACAAGGACGUUAGUAACUGAACGUCCCCUGACGGUAUCUAACCAGAAAGCCACGGCUAACUACGUGCCAGCAGCCGCGGUAAUACGUAGGUGGCAAGCGUUGUCCGGAUUUAUUGGGCGUAAAGCGAGCGCAGGCGGUUUCUUAAGUCUGAUGUGAAAGCCCCCGGCUCAACCGGGGAGGGUCAUUGGAAACUGGGGGACUUGAGUGCAGGAGAGGGGAGUGGAAUUCCAUGUGUAGCGGUGAAAUGCGUAGAUAUAUGGAGGAACACCAGUGGCGAAGGCGGCUCUCUGGUCUGUAACUGACGCUGAGGCUCGAAAGCGUGGGGAGCAAACAGG
rnacentral:rRNA from 1 species